rnacentral:rRNA from 1 species
ACGUACACUCCUACGGGAGGCAGCAGUGAGGAAUAUUGGACAAUGGGUGGAAGCCUGAUCCAGCCAUCCCGCGUGCAGGAAGACGGCCCUAUGGGUUGUAAACUGCUUUUAUCUGGGGAUAAACCUACUUACGUGUAAGUAGCUGAAGGUACCAGAAGAAUAAGCACCGGCUAACUCCGUGCCAGCAGCCGCGGUAAUACGGAGGGUGCAAGCGUUAUCCGGAUUUAUUGGGUUUAAAGGGUCCGUAGGCGGACUGAUAAGUCAGUGGUGAAAUCCGACAGCUUAACUGUCGAACUGCCAUUGAUACUGUUAGUCUUGAGUAAGGUUGAAGUGGCUGGAAUAAGUAGUGUAGCGGUGAAAUGCAUAGAUAUUACUUAGAACACCAAUUGCGAAGGCAGGUCACUAAGUCUUAACUGACGCUGAUGGACGAAAGCGUGGGGAGCGAACAGGAUUAGAAACCCCUGUAGUCCCAU